ACUCCUACGGGAGGCAGCAGUAGGGAAUCUUCCACAAUGGGCGCAAGCCUGAUGGAGCAACACCGCGUGAGUGAAGAAGGGUUUCGGCUCGUAAAGCUCUGUUGUUAAAGAAGAACACGUAUGAGAGUAACUGUUCAUACGUUGACGGUAUUUAACCAGAAAGUCACGGCUAACUACGUGCCAGCAGCCGCGGUAAUACGUAGGUGGCAAGCGUUAUCCGGAUUUAUUGGGCGUAAAGAGAGUGCAGGCGGUUUUCUAAGUCUGAUGUGAAAGCCUUCGGCUUAACCGGAGAAGUGCAUCGGAAACUGGAUAACUUGAGUGCAGAAGAGGGUAGUGGAACUCCAUGUGUAGCGGUGGAAUGCGUAGAUAUAUGGAAGAACACCAGUGGCGAAGGCGGCUACCUGGUCUGCAACUGACGCUGAGACUCGAAAGCAUGG
rnacentral:rRNA from 1 species